rnacentral:rRNA from 1 species
GACGAACGCUGGCGGCGUGCCUAAUACAUGCAAGUAGAACGCUGAAGGAGGAGCUUGCUUCUCUGUAUGAGUUGCGAACGGGUGAGUAACGCGUAGGUAACCUGCCUGGUAGAGGGGGAUAACUAUUGGAAACGAUAGCUAAUAUCGCAUAAUAGCAGUUGUUGCAUGACAACUGUUUGAAAGAUGCAAUUGCACCACAACCAGAUGGACAUGCGUUGUAUUUGCUAGUGGGUGGGGUAACGGCUCACCAAGGCGACGAUACAUAGCCGACCUGAGAGGGUGGUCGGCCACACUGGGACUGAGACACGGCCCAGACUCCUACGGGAGGCAGCAGUAGGGAAUCUUCGGCAAUGGACGGAAGUCUGACCGAGCAACGCCGCGUGAGUGAAGAAGGUUUUCGGAUCGUAAAGCUCUGUUGUAAGAGAAGAACGAGUGUGAGAGUGGAAAGUUCACACUGUGACGGUAUCUUACCAGAAAGGGACGGCUAACUACGUG